UAAAAUGUGUAAUUACAUAUAGCGACAUUACGAUAUUCGAUUAUUAUUGACAUAAUUUCGUGGCAUCGAUCUAUAAUCUAUAAGAUUUAACGUAGGAAAAGAAGAAAGAGUGUCAUCCAAAGUAUCAUCAACUAAUGAUUGAAAUCAACAGGUUUUAGAUUUAUUUUUACAUUGUCAAAUAUUUCUAUGAUUUCCGGAUGUACAGAAAUGUAGAAAUAGGGGAAACUGAUAAAGUUGGAAGCUAUGAAGGACAGGAUAAACCUGAAAUGCAAUACCUUUUUAUGCUUCACAAUUUUGGAGAUUUCGGUUUAUUACUGCUCCACUUGGUGUUGUCAGAAUUGACGUAACUCCAAACUGAACUAGAGUAGGGUCAGUGCAUAACAUCCAUCACCACUGCGAGGCAGUUCGUAAAUUUACUUCAACCAGAAAUUCCGCCUUUCAGUUUCACCGGUUCUGCCUCCUUCACGAGAGAAUUCGCAGAAUACAUUCACCAAGCGACGAAGAAGGCCAAUGACGAUAAUUCUUGGAUCAUAAUUCCAUUUGAGUCGGAAAAGAUUCGUGACGGAGAACGGGACACCGCAAUUGCGGGGCUGACGGCGAUGUUCGAGGAACGAGGAGGGAAUUUCCUGUUGUUCCUGCUUCAUUCCUGCGAACGAAGGGGAUUUAAUUAGUCGAAAAGCUAGCUACCAGUGUCACGUGCAUUCGAACGUACGUUGAUACCGUGUCGCUAGGACGACACUAAAAGCGAGAAACGAACGAAAUGAGGAAUAAAGAUGUGACGAUAGAAAUACUGCGUUUGAGAAAAGAGAGAGAGAGAAAGGUAAAGGAUGGGAUAGGAGAAACAAAGGUACGCGAAAAAAAUUGCAGAUUUAGAGGAAAAAGGAAAGAGAAGGAGGAUGAUAAAAGAAGAAAAGAAAGGUACAAAUGCGAUGGAUUUGGCUCGUUAGAAAUAGUGAAUUUUCUUCGAAUUAAAAUGAAAAUUUUCUCUUGUAUACGUUACCCAAAAGAGUUUCUGUAACAAAUUAAAUUUUUUGUUAUUCAGAGACACUUUGAUCGCCAGAAAUUAGUUCAACAGAUAUACGCUACAAAAGUAAUGAAUUUUAUUUCUUACAAUAAAUAAUAUAGGAUCAUUCUGUUCAAGUCAGAUGAUCUAUUAAUUAAUACGCAUCAAUAGCAAUAUUUUGACAUCGACUCCUCUUUCAUUGUUUAAUCAAUUGUUAAUAUAUAUAAAUAAUUAAAUAUACAUAAUAUUUAAUACUAGCGAUUCGUUAAUUUUCAGGUAUAGCUUUCAAUAUUUCCUAAAAUCAAUAUUUCCCGAAAGCCCUUUAAUGUGACCAAUUCUUUAAUAAAACCAAUGAUUAAAGGUUGAUUAUUUUGAAAACACGGUCUAAAAUGAAAAUUUAUUUGAAAAUGAUCAAACUUGUGCAUAAAAGUAGAGUAGAUAAAACAUAAUUAAGGUGGAUGUCCAAUUACUGCAACUUCCAUGUAGUGCAUCGAGAAUCUGGGCUAUCGGUAUUAUAUGAUAUAUAAUUAUUAAUUGCAUCGUUAUACGAUACAAUUAUCAAUUGCAUAACAAAUAAUAUGAGCUAAUUGGCUGCGUUCGCGGUUACGUGUAUACAGUUACACAAUUUAUUAAAUUAUUAUCAAUUAUUAUCAACAACCUUAUUUCACCAACGCCAUACCAAGAAUACAGUUAUGUAUCCUUAAAAUUAAUUAGUCAAACUUGUACAAACAUUACACCAUAUUACGCUAUAAUACAUAUACAAUAGAACGGAGUAUAGUAUUAAUUGAGGAGAAAAUGUAAUGAUUUUUCGGAAACAACCUUUAUCCAACCUUUAUCCAAAACUUACUCACUAACGUGAUUUAAUUAAAUAAUUCUUAUACAUAAUAAAUAAUACUUUGUUAAAAAAAUGAAAAUGUAUCGGACAAAAAUAAAAGAUGCUAGAGUAAUCUUUCAUCGUUCUAGAAAAAGACAAAAAUAUAGCCAAGGGUCAUUUUUGUUACGAGCCCUUAAAUCGUAAUAUACGAGCAGAUUCAGUGGUUACGAUAAUAGGAUUUCCCAGGGCUCGCCAAGGUAACCUCAAAUUCGUCGAUUUUUCCCAUAGUCGUUAUGUCUUCGCCGGGCAUUUAUAGCGUUGAGUGUGCGCCAG